rnacentral:rRNA from 1 species
UACGGGGGGGGCGAGCGUUGUCCGAAGUUACUGGGCGUAAAGCGCGUGUAGGCGGGUUGUUAAGUCCGCUGUGAAAGCCCGGUGCUCAACGCCGGAGGGUCGGUGGAUACUGGCAGUCUUGAAGUGGCUAGGGGGAAAUGGAAUUACCGGUGUAGCGGUGAAAUGCGUAGAUAUCGGUAGGAACACCAGUGGCGAAGGCGGUUUCCUGGAGCUAACUUGACGCUGAGACGCGAAAGCUGGGGGAGCAAACGGGAUUAGAUACCCCGGUAGUCCCAGCCCUAAACGAUGGAUACUAGGUGUCAGGGGUAUCGACCCCUCUGGUGCCGCAGCUAACGCAGUAAGUAUCCCGCCUGGGGAGUACGGCCGCAAGGUUGAA